rnacentral:rRNA from 1 species
AGUGAACGCUGGCGGUAGGCCUAACACAUGCAAGUCGAACGGCAGCACAGUAAGAGCUUGCUCUUACGGGUGGCGAGUGGCGGACGGGUGAGGAAUACAUCGGAAUCUACUUUUUCGUGGGGGAUAACGUAGGGAAACUUACGCUAAUACCGCAUACGACCUACGGGUGAAAGCAUGGGAUCUUCGGACCUUGCGCGAUUGAAUGAGCCGAUGUCGGAUUAGCUAGUUGGCGGGGUAAAGGCCCACCAAGGCGACGAUCCGUAGCUGGUCUGAGAGGAUGAUCAGCCACACUGGAACUGAGACACGGUCCAGACUCCUACGGGAGGCAGCAGUGGGGAAUAUUGGACAAUGGGCGCAAGCCUGAUCCAGCCAUACCGCGUGGGUGAAGAAGGCCUUCGGGUUGUAAAGCCCUUUUGUUGGGAAAGAAAAGCAGUAGGUUAAUACCCCGCUGUUCUGACGGUACCCAAAGAAUAAGCACCGGCUAACUUCGUG